rnacentral:rRNA from 1 species
ACGCUGGCGGCAGGCUUAACACAUGCAAGUCGAGCGGGCGAGGUUGCUUCGGUAACUGAGCUAGCGGCGGACGGGUGAGUAAUGCUUAGGAAUCUGCCUAUUAGUGGGGGACAACAUUCCGAAAGGAAUGCUAAUACCGCAUACGCCCUACGGGGGAAAGCAGGGGAUCUUCGGACCUUGCGCUAAUAGAUGAGCCUAAGUCAGAUUAGCUAGUUGGUGGGGUAAAGGCCUACCAAGGCGACGAUCUGUAGCGGGUCUGAGAGGAUGAUCCGCCACACUGGGACUGAGACACGGCCCAGACUCCUACGGGAGGCAGCAGUGGGGAAUAUUGGACAAUGGGGGGAACCCUGAUCCAGCCAUGCCGCGUGUGUGAAGAAGGCCUUUUGGUUGUAAAGCACUUUAAGCGAGGAGGAGGCUACUUGGAUUAAUACUCUAGGAUAGUGGACGUUACUCGCAGAAUAAGCACCGGCUAACUCUGUGCCAGCAGCCGCGGUAAUACAGAGGGUGCGAGCGUUAAUCGGAUUUACUGGGCGUAAAGCGUGCGUAGGCGGCUUCUUAAGUCGGAUGUGAAAUCCCUGAGCUUAACUUAGGAAUUGCAUUCGAUACUGGGAAGCUAGAGUAUGGGAGAGGAUGGUAGAAUUCCAGGUGUAGCGGUGAAAUGCGUAGAGAUCUGGAGGAAUACCGAUGGCGAAGGCAGCCAUCUGGCCUAAUACUGACGCUGAGGUACGAAAGCAUGGGGAGCAAACAGGAUUAGAUACCCUGGUAGUCCAUGCCGUAAACGAUGUCUACUAGCCGUUGGGGCCUUUGAGGCUUUAGUGGCGCAGCUAACGCGAUAAGUAAACCGCCUGGGGAGUACCGUCGCAAGACUAAA